UACCUUGUUCAGAGGGAUAGCCUCUGGAAAGAGAGAUUAACACCGCAUAAUAUAUCGAUGUGGCAUCACGAUGAUAUCAAAUAUUUAUAGGAACAAGAUGGGCAUGCGGAACAUUAGCUAGUUGGUAAGGUAAUGGCUUACCAAGGCUACGAUGUUUAGGGGAUCUGAGAGGAUGACCCCCCACACUGGUACUGAGACACGGACCAGACUCCUACGGGAGGCAGCAGUAAGGAAUAUUGGUCAAUGGGCGGAAGCCUGAACCAGCCAUGCCGCGUGCAGGAAGACGGCCCUACGGGUUGUAAACUGCUUUUGUACCGGAAUAAACCUCUUUACGUGUAAAGAGCUGAAUGUACGGUAAGAAUAAGGAUCGUGCUAACUCCGUGCCAGCAGCCGCGGUAAU
rnacentral:rRNA from 1 species